AGAGUUUGAUCCUGGCUCAGGAUGAACGCUGGCGGCGUGCUUAACACAUGCAAGUCGAACGAAGCACUUUAUUUGAUUUCCUUCGGGACUGAUUAUUUUGUGACUGAGUGGCGGACGGGUGAGUAACGCGUGGGUAACCUGCCUCGUACAGGGGGAUAACAGUUGGAAACGGCUGCUAAUACCGCAUAAGCGCACAGCAUCGCAUGAUGCAGUGUGAAAAACUCCGGUGGUAUAAGAUGGACCCGCGUUGGAUUAGCUAGUUGGUGAGGUAACGGCCCACCAAGGCGACGAUCCAUAGCCGACCUGAGAGGGUGACCGGCCACAUUGGGACUGAGACACGGCCCAAACUCCUACGGGAGGCAGCAGUGGGGAAUAUUGCACAAUGGGCGAAAGCCUGAUGCAGCGACGCCGCGUGAGCGAAGAAGUAUUUCGGUAUGUAAAGCUCUAUCAGCAGGGAAGAUAAUGACGGUACCUGACUAAGAAGCACCGGCUAAAUACGUGCCAGCAGCCGCGGUAAUACGUAUGGUGCAAGCGUUAUCCGGAUUUACUGGGUGUAAAGGGAGCGCAGGCGGUGCGGCAAGUCUGAUGUGAAAGCCCGGGGCUCAACCCCGGUACUGCAUUGGAAACUGUCGUACUAGAGUGUCGGAGGGGUAAGCGGAAUUCCUAGUGUAGCGGUGAAAUGCGUAGAUAUUAGGAGGAACACCAGUGGCGAAGGCGGCUUACUGGACGAUAACUGACGCUGAGGCUCGAAAGCGUGGGGAGCAAGCAGGAUUAGAUACCCUGGUAGUCCACGCCGUAAACGAUG
rnacentral:rRNA from 1 species